rnacentral:rRNA from 1 species
GACGAACGCUGGCGGCGUGCUUAACACAUGCAAGUCGAACGCUGAAGCUUGGUGCUUGCACUGGGUGGAUGAGUGGCGCACGGGUGAGUAAUACGUGAGUAACCUGCCCUUGACUCUGGGAUAAGCCUGGGACACUGGGUCUAAUACUGGAUACGACAUGUCUCCGCAUGGUGGUGUGUGGCUAGGGUUUUACUGGUUUUGGAUGGGCUCACGGCCUAUCAGCUUGUUGGUGGGGUAAUGGCUCACCAAGGCGACGACGGGUAGCCGGCCUGAGAGGGUGACCGGCCACACUGGGACUGAGACACGGCCCAGACUCCUACGGGAGGCAGCAGUGGGGAAUAUUGCACAAUGGGCGGAAGCCUGAUGCAGCGACGCCGCGUGAGGGAUGACGGCCUUCGGGUUGUAAACCUCUUUCAGCACGGAAGAAGCGAAAGUGACGGUACGUGCAGAAGAAGCGCCGGCUAACUACGUG